UGUAACAGGUUGUCCAGCAAGGUUGUGGAUGCCGGCCUGUAAGAGACUAUUCUUUUAUAUCAUUGACUCAAAGUUUGCUGAGGAACAAGUCCAGGCAAGUCCUGGGCAAAGGCAGAGAAAUCUUUUGUCUUGAGGACACUGAUGGACAGGUCCUGGCUAAGGAUUGUGAAAUCCUCUAAGGAGCACAGAUGGACAAGGCCAGGGGCAACGAGAGAGAAGAUAAGCUGCUGCUAAUGGCUGGGAAACGGUCUUUUUGUGUGGACUUAUCUCGAGGAAGAUGGCCAUCUCAGGAGGUAUGCCCAGGACUCUUGCUCAAGCACCCAGGAAUGUCACGUAGGCAGGAGAAAAUGGAGGAUAAAAGAGGGUCCAACAACCACGGCGAAGUAGAGGCUUAUCUCGCACCACGACAGACUUGAGGGGUUCUCUGCCAUCUGAUCCUUCACCACAAC
ensembl:lncRNA